GAUGAACGCUGGCUGUGUGCCUAAUACAUGCAUGUCGAGCGAAGCACUUUUGUGCUUAGCGGCGAAUGGGUGAGUAACACGUACUUAACCUACCCUCAAGAUUGGGACAACACUUGGAAACGAGUGCUAAUACCAAAUACGUAUUUUUAUCGCAUGAUAGAUAUAUAAAAGGAGCUUCGGCUUCACUAGAGGAUGGGAGUGCGCUACAUUAGUUAGUUGGUAGGGUAGUGGCCUACCAAGACUAUGAUGUAUAGCGGGGCCGAGAGGCUGAUCCGCCACACUGGGACUGAGAUACGGCCCAGACUCCUACGGGAGGCAGCAGUAGGGAAUUUUCCACAAUGAACGAAAGUUUGAUGGAGCGACACAGCGUGCAGGAUGAAGGUCUUCGGAUUGUAAACUGCUGUUAUAAGAGAAGAAAAACCCUGGUAGGUAAUGACCAGGACUUGACGGUACCUUAUCAGAAAGCGACGGCUAACUAUGUGCCAGCAGCCGCGGUAAUACAUAGGUCGCAAGCGUUAUCCGGAAUUAUUGGGCGUAAAGAGUUCGUAGGUGGUUUUGUAAGUCUGAAGUUAAAUACCGGGGCUCAACCCCGGCCCGCUUUGGAUACUGCAAAACUAGAGUAAUAGAGAGGUUAGUGGAACUCCAAGUGAAGCGGUGGAAUGCGUAGAUAUUUGGAAGAACACCAAUGGCGAAGGCAACUAACUGGAUAUUAACUGACACUGAGGAACGAAAGCGUGGGUAGCAAACAGG
rnacentral:rRNA from 1 species